CUUGCAUUGGUCAUCGUCACUCUAUGGCAAUCCAUCUCCGUCAACUUAUGCGUAUUCUUUGGAGUCGUCAUUCAUUCUGGCUUCAUCGCAACAUACAUGUGGCUCACCAUCAUGUGCUUCGAUGUGUGGCGUUAUGUUCGGCUUAGCGUGAAAGGCAUCCCUAG